rnacentral:tRNA from 1 species
GACGAAAUAGUUUAAGUAAAAUAAUAGAUUGUGGUUCUGUAGAUAGGGUUAUAUAGCUUUUCGUUA